rnacentral:piRNA from 1 species
UUCGACAUCGUAGUUAAUAGGUCUCAUUC